GUGCCAGCCGCCGCGGUAAUACGGAGGGUGCGAGCGUUGUUCGGAAUCACUGGGCGUAAAGGGCGUGUAGGCGGUCUGUUAAGUCUGAUGUGAAAGCCCGGGGCUCACCCCCGGAAGUGCAUUGGAUACUGGCGGACUCGAGUCUCGGAGAGGAGGGUGGAAUUCCUGGUGUAGCGGUGAAAUGCGUAGAUAUCAGGAGGAACACCGGUGGCGAAGGCGGCCCUCUGGACGAUGACUGACGCUGAGACGCGAAAGCGUGGGGAGCAAACAGGAUUAGAUACCCCGGUAGUCC
rnacentral:rRNA from 1 species